CAAUAGGUGACUGAAAGCAAGUAAUGGUCUCUUAAACCAAAUAAUAGUAAAUUAGCAAUUACUCCUAUUGG
rnacentral:tRNA from 1 species